rnacentral:rRNA from 1 species
UACGAAGGGGGCUAGCGUUAUCCGGAAUGAUUGGGCGUAAAGCGUCCGCAGGUGGCAGUUCAAGUCUGCUGUCAAAGACCGGGGCUUAACUUCGGAAAGGCAGUGGAAACUGAACAGCUAGAGUAUGGUAGGGGCAGAGGGAAUUCCUGGUGUAGCGGUGAAAUGCGUAGAGAUCAGGAAGAACAUCGGUGGCGAAGGCGCUCUGCUGGACCAUAACUGACACUCAGGGACGAAAGCUAGGGGAGCGAAUGGG